GGAUAUAGCUCAGUUGGUAGAGUGCUUGCUUCACAUGUACAGGCCCUGGGUUCAAUCCCCAGCACCA
rnacentral:tRNA from 1 species